ACUCCUACGGGAGGCAGCAGUGGGGAAUAUUGCACAAUGGGCGCAAGCCUGAUGCAGCCAUGCCGCGUGUGUGAAGAAGGCCUUCGGGUUGUAAAGCACUUUCAGCGGGGAGGAAGGCGAUAAGGUUAAUAACCUUGUCGAUUGACGUUACCCGCAGAAGAAGCACCGGCUAACUCCGUGCCAGCAGCCGCGGUAAU
rnacentral:rRNA from 1 species